CCCUAAUUUAUUUUUUAUUUGUUUAUUUUUGUACUUAGGACAUUAUCGAAUUUUUUGACGCGAGACAUGAUGACAACCCAAGCACCAUGUUCCGGUUACUCAAUUCGGACGUCUCUAAGCGGGUUAUUUCGCCCUACUCAUGAUAACUUGUUAGCGGAGUGAGUGCAAAGAAAUUGGGCAGCCACACGAACCUUUUUACGCGAGAUGUGAUGAUAACCCAAGCACCACGUUCCGGUUACUCAGCCCGAUGCACAACCCAAAAUUUUCACUCUUAACAUUCGUAUCAGAGGAGUAUUAUUUUUUCUUCUUCUUCUUCUUCUUUUUGAUCUUUUUUUUUCUAUUAUUAUUAUUAUUUUACUAUUUAAUUUAAUUUUUGUUUUAUUUCUAUUUUUGCAUGGAAACAUUCCAAGACAAAAUUAAAAUCUCACAUAUCAACUCACAAAUUCUUUUUAUUUUUCAGCCAAGGCCGACACUACAAGUCCACCAUUUUAAAAUCAAUCUAAGCUAGCCCAUAAACCCAAAAUUUCUCAACCCAACCGUCCAUACAUUUCCCAAUUAAAAAAAACAAAAAAAAACAAAAACCCUUACACCCAUCAAAUCAAACUUUUCACCUAGAAAAACAAACUCCACUACCCCAUAUUAACUCACCAAAUUUCCCCCCAACAGACCACUCCUUUCAAAUAAAAACAAAAACCCUUACACCCAUCAAAUCCUAGCCUUUCACCUGUCACAUUCUAGCUUUCUUUUCACCCUAAAAUAAAAAAUCACACACAACCCAUUACCCCACAUUUGACCGGCCAAAGAAACAUAAAAACAUAUUCAAAAUCUUUUUCAAACUCUUCUUUCUUUCUUUUAUUUCCCUUCACCUUCAAC
rnacentral:lncRNA from 1 species